rnacentral:rRNA from 1 species
AUUGAACGCUGGCGGCAUGCCUUACACAUGCAAGUCGAACGGUAACAGGUCUUCGGAUGCUGACGAGUGGCGAACGGGUGAGUAAUACAUCGGAACGUGCCUAGUAGUGGGGGAUAACUACUCGAAAGAGUGGCUAAUACCGCAUGAGAUCUACGGAUGAAAGCAGGGGAUCGCAAGACCUUGGUCUACUAGAGCGGCCGAUGGCAGCUUAGGUAGGUGGUGGGAUAAAAGCUUACCAAGCCGACGAGCUGUAGCUGGUCUGAGAGGACGAACAGCCACACUGGGACUUAGACACGGCCCAGACUCGUACGGGAGGCAGCAGUGGGGAAUUUUGGACAAUGGGCGCAAGCCUGAUCCAGCAAUGCCGCGUGCAGGAUGAAGGCCUUCGGGUUGUAAACUGCUUUUGUACGGAACGAAAAGCCCCGGGUUAAUACCCUGGGGUCAUGACGGUACCGUAAGAAUAAGCACCGGCUAACUACGUGCCAGCCGCCGCCGUAA